rnacentral:rRNA from 1 species
UACGUAGGGGGCAAGCGUUGUCCGGAAUCAUUGGGCGUAAAGAGCGUGUAGGCGGCCAGAUAAGUCCGCUGUGAAAUCUCGAGGCUCAACUUCGAGCUGUCGGUGGAAACUAUCUGGCUAGAGUCCGGAAGAGGAGAAUGGAAUUCCUGGUGUAGCGGUGAAAUGCGCAGAUAUCAGGAAGAACACCCGUGGCGAAGGCGGUUCUCUGGGAUGGUACUGACGCUGAGACGCGAAAGCGUGGGGAGCGAACAGG